rnacentral:rRNA from 1 species
UUUUUUAUGGAGAGUUUGAUCCUGGCUCAGGACGAACGCUGGCGGCGUGCUUAACACAUGCAAGUCGAACGGAAAGGC